rnacentral:rRNA from 1 species
AUUGAACGCUGGCGGCAGGCCUAACACAUGCAAGUCGAGCGGAUGACGGGAGCUUGCUCCUUGAUUCAGCGGCGGACGGGUGAGUAAUGCCUAGGAAUCUGCCUGGUAGUGGGGGACAACGUUUCGAAAGGAACGCUAAUACCGCAUACGUCCUACGGGAGAAAGCAGGGGACCUUCGGGCCUUGCGCUAUCAGAUGAGCCUAGGUCGGAUUAGCUAGUAGGUGAGGUAAUGGCUCACCUAGGCGACGAUCCGUAACUGGUCUGAGAGGAUGAUCAGUCACACUGGAACUGAGACACGGUCCAGACUCCUACGGGAGGCAGCAGUGGGGAAUAUUGGACAAUGGGCGAAAGCCUGAUCCAGCCAUGCCGCGUGUGUGAAGAAGGUCUUCUGAUUGUAAAGCACUUUAAGUUGGGAGGAAGGGCAGUAAGCGAAUACCUUGCUGUUUUGACGUUACCGACAGAAUAAGCACCGGCUAACUCUGUGCCAGCCGCCGCGGUAAAAC